rnacentral:rRNA from 1 species
CUACGGGGGGCUGCAGUGGGGAAUAUUGCACAAUGGGCGCAAGCCUGAUGCAGCCAUGCCGCGUGUAUGAAGAAGGCCUUCGGGUUGUAAAGUACUUUCAGCGGGGAGGAAGGGAGUAAAGUUAAUACCUUUGCUCAUUGACGUUACCCGCAGAAGAAGCACCGGCUAACUCCGUGCCAGCAGCCGCGGUAAUACGGAGGGUGCAAGCGUUAAUCGGAAUUACUGGGCGUAAAGCGCACGCAGGCGGUUUGUUAAGUCAGAUGUGAAAUCCCCGGGCUCAACCUGGGAACUGCAUCUGAUACUGGCAAGCGUGAGUCUCGUAGAAGGGAGUAGAAUUCCAGGUGUAGCGGUGAAAUGCGUAGAGAUCUGGAGGAAUACCGGUGGCGAAGGCGGCCCCCUGGACGAAGACUGACGCUCAGGUGCGAAAGCGUGGGGAGCAAACAGGAUUAGAUACCCCGGUAGUC